CAGCCGCCGCGGUAAUACCGGCAGCACGAGUGAUAGCCACUAUUAUUGGGCCUAAAGCGUCCGUAGCCGGCUACACAGGUCCGUCGGGAAAUCCACCCGCUCAACGGGUGGGUCUCGGGCNNNNCACCAGGUAGNUUGGGCCCGGAAGACCAGAGGGGUACGUCCGGGGGGGAGNNGUGAAUCCCUGUAUCCUGGACGGACCACCGGUUGCGAAAGCGCCUCUGGAGGACGGACCCGACGGUGAGGGACGAAAGCUUGGGUCUCGAACCGGAUUAGAUACCCGGGUAGUCCAAGCUGUAAACGAUGCUCGCUAGGUGCGGCGCAGGCUACGAGCCUGCGCUGUGCCGUAGGGAAGCCGAGAAGCGAGCCGCCUGGGAAGUACGUCCGCAAGGAUGAAACUUAAAGGAAUUGGCGGGGGAGCAC
rnacentral:rRNA from 1 species